rnacentral:rRNA from 1 species
AGCCUGAACGCUGGCGGCGUGGCUAAGACAUGCAAGUCGCACGGUGUAGCAAUACACAGUAGCGAACGGGUGAGUAAUGAAUCGCUAAUGUACCCCGGACUCUGGGAUAGCUACCCGAAAGGGUAGGUAAUACCAGAUGAGACCACGAUCAGGCAUCUGAUUGUGCUCAAAGGUCCGCCGGUCUGGGAGCAGGCGAUUUCGUAUCAGCUUGUUGGUGAGGUAACGGCUCACCAAGGCGACGACGCGUAGCCGGACUGAGAGGUUGGCCGGCCACAUUGGGACUGAGACACUGCCCAGACUCCUACGGGGGGCUGCAGUAACGAAUCUUCCGCAAUGCACGAGAGUGUGACGGAGCGACGCCGCGUGUAGGACGAAGCCCUUCGGGUGUAAACGUCUGUCAGGGUUAGAAAGUUCUGAUCAACCCCAGAGGAAGGCACGGCUAACUCUGUCGCCAACGAGCCGC